UACGUAGGGUGCGAGCGUUAAUCGGAAUUACUGGGCGUAAAGCGUGCGUAGACGGCUAUCUAAGUCGGGUGUGAAAGCCCCGGGCUCAACCUGGGAAUUGCAUUCGAGACUGAAUAGCUAGGGUGCGGUAGAGGGAAGCGGAAUUUCCGGUGUAGCGGUGAAACGCGUAGAUAUCGGAAGAACACCGGUGGCGAAGGCGGCUCACUGGCUCAUUUCUGACGCUCAGGCGCGACAGCGUGGGGAUCAAACAGG
rnacentral:rRNA from 1 species